rnacentral:rRNA from 1 species
AGUCUGGUGCCAGCAGCCGCGGUAAUUCCAGCUCCAAUAGCGUAUAUUAAAAUUGUUGCAGUUAAAAAGCUCGUAGUUGGAUUUCUGGUUCGGCGUACUUGGCCCGCUCCGGUUUACGGGGUUGUGUGCCGGUGUGCGCCAUCCAUCCUUCGAGAAAUCAUUUCUGCCCUUCACUGGGUUGGAAGUGGAAUCUCGAUCUUUUACUUUGAAAAAAUUAGAGUGUUUAAAGCAGGCUUGCGGCUAUGAAUACAUUAGCAUGGAAUAAUAAUUUAGGACUUUUGUCUUAUUUUGUUGGUUUCUAGGACUUAAGUAAUGAUUGAUAGGGACAGUUGGGGGUGCUAGUAUGCAGCGGCCAGAGGUGAAAUUCUUGGAUUCGCUGAAGACUAACUUAUGCGAAAGCAUUCACCAAGGAUGUCUUCUUUAAUCAAGAACGAAAGUUAGAGGUUCGAAGGCGAUCAGAUACCGCCCUAGUUCUAACCAUAAACGAUGUCGACCGGCAAUCUGCUCUCGUUAAAUUAAUGACUGAGCAGGCGGCCUGCUGGAAACAAGAGUAUUUGGAUUCCAGGGGGAGUAUGGUUGCAAAGCUGAAACUUAAAAGAAUUGACGGAAGGGCACCACCAGGAGUGGAGCCUGCGGCUUAAUUUGACCCAACACGGGAAAUCUCACCAGGCCCGGACACCGGAAGGAUUGACAGAUUGAGAGCUCUUUCUUGAUUCGGUGGGUGGUGGUGCAUGGCCGUUCUUAGUUGGUGGAGCGAUUUGUCUGGUUAAUUCCGAUAACGAACGAGACUCUGGCCUACUAAAUAGACGUCAAAUCUUUUAUAGGUUUGUCGUAUGCUUCUUAGAGGGACGGGCGGCGUUUAGCCGCACGAGAAUGAGCAAUAACAGGUCUGUGAUGCCCUUAGAUGUUCUGGGCCGCACGCGCGCUACACUGAAGAAAUCAGCGUGUGUUCCUCAUCCGAAAGGAUUGGGUAACCCGUUGAACCUUCUUCGUGAUGGGGAUUGGGGAUUGCAAUUAUUCCCCAUGAACGAGGAAUUCCCAGUAGGCGCGAGUCAUUAGCUUGCGUCGAUUACGUCCCUGCCCUUUGUACACACCGCCCGUCGCUACUACCGAUCGAGUGAUUUAGUGAGGACUCCGGACUGGUCUCUGAUGUAACUCUCGGGUUGUGUUGGUGUACUAGAAAGUUGUCCAAACUUGAUUACUUAGAGGAAGUAAAAGUC